rnacentral:misc_RNA from 1 species
GCAAUAGCAAGUUUGACAGCAACAUGUUGGCCCUAUGUGAAUCCUGAAACUUCUGUAAAUUCUCCCGUGUGUGAUAAGGAAGGUUUUAGAGCCAAGCAAAUGAACCCCACCCCAAGUGUGGAAGCCAUUGCUGCAGCAACUGUAGCAGCUGCAACUGCAUGGUGGGCGGCCCAUGGAUUGCUACCUUUAUGUGCUCCUUUUCAUUCUGCCUUUACCAGCGCUGCUGUAUCAGCACCUGUGGUACAAUCAUCAGAUACUUGUCAAAAUCCUGAGUCCAAGGACAAAGCAGAAAGUUCCCAACAAAAUGCUGCUUUGCAAAACCAACAACUGGAUGCAGAACAAUCAGAAGCUUUGACUGCUCAACAUUCAGGUUCCAAGUUACCGACUCAUUCAUCAUCUGAUUCUGAGGGUAGUGGAGCUGCAAAUGCAAAUGCUAUGGUGAAACCUGCUAUGGUGAAACCUGCCCAUAACGAGAAGACGCCUGCUGAGGUUGAGUUUCAUGAUUCAAACAAGGGGAAGAGGGGAAAACAAGUAGAUCGUUCUUCAUGUGGUUCAAAUACACCAUCUGGAAGUGAUCGAGAGAUAGACGCAACAGAAAAUAAUGAUAAAGAAGAAAAGGAGGAGGAAAAAGAUCUUGAGAUGAAUCGUCCAGCUGUCGAGUCUAGUAAUCGUCGCAGUAGAAGUAUCAGUAACACAAGUGAAUCUUGGAAGGAGGUUUCUGAUGAGGGGCGGCUGGCUUUUCAAGCACUCUUCACUCGUGAUGUAUUGCCUCAAAGCUUUUCACCUCCCUAUGAUGUAGAAAAUGAGAAAAAGGCAAAUGAGAACGUUGCAAAAGAUAUUCAUAUUGUAGAUAAAGAUAGUGGUGCGUCAGUUUUGG